rnacentral:rRNA from 1 species
UACAGAGGGUGCGAGCGUUAAUCGGAAUUACUGGGCGUAAAGCGUGCGCAGGCGGUUCUAUAAGACAGAUGUGAAAUCCCCCGGGCUUAACCUGGGAACCGCAUUUGUGACUGCAUAGCUGGAGUACGGCAGAGGGGGAUGGAAUUCCGCGUGUAGUAGUGAAAUGCGUAGAUAUGCGGAGGAACACCGAUGGCGAAGGCAGUCCCCUGGGCCUGUACUGACGCUCAUGCACGAAAAGCGUGGGGGAGCAAACAGG